UCGCAAUGUUCCUUUACGGUGUUUGAUGUGAAUGAGAUACAGCUAUUAUCGCCACCUACUGGCCUGGCAUGCUUAUGUGAGCGUUUUCCAUCUUUUUUGCGUUGCCAUGUGGACUGAGAGAUUUUUUAAAAACUGCUGGUGUGGACGGGAUUUUUUUUGCAACCGGAGGGGGAGGAAACGGGUUUUUAGAAAUAUCCGUAUACGUGUGGACGUGGCCUCAGCUUCUCUGUGCUGCAGCAGGUGAGAAGCUGGAACAUCACUGUACCUAAAACAGUGACUGCAGUGGAGGGGAGCUGUGCUGUGGUACCAUGUCAGACAAAAGCUCAUGUCCGGGUCACCUGGUAUCAAUACAAUAAGAUGUAUUAUCCUGUGGUGUAUGACAGAUAUCCUCCUACAGUGGAACAACAGUUCAGAGGACGCACCUCAGUAAAGGGAGCAGCCACAGAGGGUAGCUGCACCCUGAAGAUUAAAAAUUUAAGAAGAACAGACAACAACCUUAAAGUCUAUGUGUGGAUCAGUCCAGACUCAAUAACAAGUCAGAAAUUCUUUGAUCGAACUGUUACGAUCAAUAAAUAGAGCACUUGACUCUGAAACCUUAAGCAAAAGAAGAUGGGGAUUGGCUUGGCAACCUUGCAGUAUUUACUGCCAUGGUUUAUGUGGAACACAGUUGCCAUUGUUGUUUGUUUAUUCUUGCAAAUAAUAUUCCUAAUGUUGCUGACUACAACUAAAGGCUACAAAAAUGCUGAUCCUAUAAACACCACAAAUUUGAAUAUGUCACUUAUGAAAUACAUUUGUACACUGUAAGAAAACAAUCGUACCUAAUGUGAAAACACCUUUAAAUAAUUUUAUAUUUACUGUCCUUCAGUUUCACUUGGAAAAAAAAUACAAAUGCUGACUUUGAGUAAGAAUUAAAGUGCUUUUUUCACAAUUGUGUUAUGAUUAGAAAUGUAAUUUAUA